GCCCCAGGGCCUUUCAGAAGGGCGGCCAGCAGAGGGACAGAGCAGCCUUCCAAGGAGGCCAAGAAAGGUUUGAACUUUCAUGAGGCUCAGCUUGGAGGCCGUGCCCUACCCUCACCCACUCCCCCAGAGCACUGAUAACCCCGACCUCUCCCACUGCAAAUCUCCUCUCCUGGCCUGUCCUCUCCCCUUCUUUCGCAGCUGCAGCUGCCGCCAGCCUCUCCCUCUCCUCCCUCCACCCCUUGCCAUCCCCAGGGAGCAGUGAGCUCAGCCUUUCCCAUCAGCCAUCCCUGGGAAUGAUGGGAAAUGCGAGGCAGGCCAGGAACCAGCAGAGGCCUGCCCCAGAGAGGGAGGAGGAGAACACGGGCCUUUCUGAGGGCCACUGGGGGCGUCUUGGGGGCAGGGCUCCAUUCUGCUGCUUGCGAUGAAGCCCAGGCUGCGUUAAGAGCACAGUCUGCCUGUCCUUACCACUGGCUGUAAAUAAGGUGGGAUCCAACUGCUGGAGCUGGGAUGGGCCUCUUUUUCUGGAUGGGGAGACAGAAGUCCAGAGAGAGGAGGGAAAGGAAGUAUGUCUGGGAGCUGACUGCCACAUCCCAGGCACUGUUGGAGCCUUUCACGUCCUUUGUCUCAUUGGAUCCUUACCACUACCCUGCAAGAGGCAAGAGGAGCCACUGGGCGCCGAGCACUCUUCCUGCAGGCGACGCUGUGCUGGGCUUCUGUGCAAUGACUUCUACCUCUGCGCAGCCACCUGAGGGGACCGGGAGACCCAUCCUGCUGAAGGGGAAACUGAGGUCUGUGGAGAGUACUAAGUUAUUGGGCGACUGUUUAUGCAGCAAAAGACAAGUGCAACGACUCAUUGAAAUUUACAUGGGAGGAACCUCCCCUCCCCCAAGAAGCUGCACCUUAGCCACAAGAAAGGUGCUCAGAGUACAGCAGGCAGCUGCCGAGCCUCGGACAUUUGCAACUUCCAGGAUUCUGCCUUUGGAGAGCCAUCGGAGAGCUUCAAAGCUAAUCAUCUCAGCAUUAUUUACAAUAGCAAAAAAAAAAAAAAAAAAAAAAAAACAACAAAAAAAACUAGAAGUCACAUCAAUGCUAAAUAAGGAGAAGAUUCAAUAAACUGUGGAGCAUUUGCAA